GUUUGCACUUGUCGGGGAAGGGUGAGAACCUUCGAUUAAGGUUCGACUCGAGCGAAAGCGAGAGAACGUUGCCAAAGGCAACGGCCCGUAGGGUGAGGAGCGAAGCGACGAAUAAUCCUUCCCCCACCACCA
rnacentral:sRNA from 1 species